UGCAGCCCGCGUGCGGUCAGCUGCGACCCGCCAGAGUUGGCGCGCGGGAGUGUGGGAGCCGCGGAAUGUUCCCGCCAGUCGCACCGGGGUCAAGUGCGGGCCGCUGUCGCCUGUCUACUCCGCGCGCCCAGCUCAGCGCCCUCCUCCGCGCCCUCCUCGGGACACUUGUCCUUGGACCCCCUACCCCAGGCCAGCUGGAGGCGCCCCGGCCGCCUUCUCCAGAGACCACCGCCCAGGGUGCCCCUGAUGAAUGACACAUUGAUUAACCCAUAUUCUUCAGACUCUGCCAUAUGGAGCCAAUGAAAGAUACCUGCUGGUGACCAAAUGAUGAUCACAUGAAAAGGCUCUGGACGCGCAGGCUCAGCGGCCAUGGCUCACAGGCCCAGCUGCUCCGCGGCAUAUGGGAUCUUCCCGGACUGGGGCACGAACCCGUGUCCCCUGCAUCAGCAGGCGGACUUUCAACCACUGCGCCACUAGGGAAGCCCCCGUAAGUGACUCUUUAAUGCUACCAAUGGGAGAUCUCCGUAUUUAUUACUGAUUAGAACUCUGAGGAUCAAUUUCUCUAUUGGAUUUGGUAGAUGACUUGUGAUGGUUCAUGAUUUUAUUUUUAUUUGAAGAGCAGUAUAGAUCUAAAAGGAUCAGAUUCAGAUAACAUCCUGGUUGAAGAAGUUAUCAAUCCUUUGGAAUUACAUGAAGAAUAUAAUAAAUUAUAACCCAGACCUAAUUAUAAGCUCCUAUUUAUAAAGCCUAGUAAAUUAUUUUACAUUUCAGUUCUGUUCAAGGUCUUUCACCAUCUGGUCCCAGUUACAGUAAUAACUUCCUUUAUUCCAGCAUAUAUAUUUCUAUGCAUCCUAAGCUAGCUCUUACCCAGAACAUUUCCAUGCCUUUGCCCAUGCUAGUCCAUCACCCCAGAAUCUCCUCUCCUGCCAUCUGGACUUACUGAAUGUCUACUCAUUCAUCGAGACCAAUUUAUCCAUCAACACCAACUCAUCCAAAAAGUUUAUGCAGAUUGCUACUUCCAUUCAGAAUCAACAGCCUCGUCUCUCCCUAUGUGGCACUUUAAUUUAUGUAUAUUUCAACGUAUUAUUAUAUAUUUCAAAAUAAUAUAAUGAACAAUCAUGUACUCUCCCAGAAGCUUAAGAAAUAAAACAUUUCCAAAAAACUUGAACCCUCCUAUGUAUCUCCUUUGGUACUGAGUCCUCCUCACUCUCCACUCCUUAGCCUCCCCACCCUUCCCCACCGAGGAUCAUUAUCUUGAAUUCCAUGCUUACCAUCGCAUGCAUUUCUCUAUAUUUUUGCUUCAUUGGAAGUAUCCCUAAACAACAUAUAGUAUUCUUUUGCAUGUUUCAAAAUUUACAUAAAUGAUAUCAACCUAAAUCUAUUCUUUUAAAACUUGUUUUUUAUAUUUGAUGUCUUAUUUGUGAGAGUUAUUGGUGUUGAUACAUAUAGUUCCUAUGCAUUCAUUUUCACUGUUGCCUAAUAUCCCGGUAUAUGAUUAUUCCAUGACAUAUUUAUUUAUAUCUUGUCUACAGACAUUUAGGUUGUUUACAGUUUUUGUUAUUAUAAACACGCAGGUGCACAAAGAGACACGACCCCUUUUUCCACACUACUGUUACAAAACUUACCACACUCUUCUAUUAUUUUGUUAUUAUAUACACAUCUCGUGACUUUUUCCUAUCACCGGAUAAACUCUAGAGGAUAAGGAUUGGCAGGUGCCCAAUAAAUGUUAACUGAUUUGAUAACUUAUCCUUUCUGUAUUUGAGUUGAGACUUUGCAGGCUCAGGCUGUUGUCUUUUAAUUAUAGUACAGAAGAGGACUUGAAUUUUUAGAUUUUCAUACUUCUACUUCAGAAAUCCUAAAAGGAAGGAAGCAUCAAGUGAGAGUUGAUUGGUCAGACUUAGUAUAAAACUUGGCUCCUACCAAGCAUCUGUCCUCAAAAAUGAGUUGGUAGUAUUUCUGUGUUCCUCAAUGCCUCUGUCAAUUUUGGAACACAGUAGAUGUUUCUCUACGAUUAUGAUUACCCAGUGAUCUCAUUUUUCUUCAAGUGCCAUUAAUUCUUUGGAAAGAUCCUAAAAAGAGGAAACGACAUUUUCAUUUGUGAUGAAAAUUUAUUGAGGUUCAGAACAAACAAACACAUUGUUUCAACUAUCCAAAUAAAGAAUAUUAGCCAGUUUCUAGAAUGGGCUCAUAUUACCAAGAAUUUUCGUGAAAUAGUUAUUUCAAUAGCAGGUUAGCUGAUGAGAAACUAGCUAGCAGAAGAAAAUAUUUAUAAUUUGAACUGUUUAUAAGUUGUCAAUAUGAUUCUACCAUAUGUAUGUUUUCCCCCAAAGUAUUAUUUCUUAAAUUUAAAAGGGGAAUAUUAUAUAAAGAUAUUAUUAGCAUUAUCAUUUGUAAUAGGGAAAAAACGGGAAAACAACAUAAAUGUCCUGCAAUAAAGGGUAAUUAAGUAAUAUAACAUGGAAAUAUGUUACAAGUUUAUGGAUUCAUUAAAAUUAUACAUAUGGUUUUGUGAUGAUAUGUAUUUGUUAAUCAAUGACAUAGAACUGUACAUACCUUGUGACUACAAUUGCUUUUUUAAUUAUUAAAUUAUAUAUUGUCUAUAUAAAGUUUAGAAGGAACAAAACUACAUAUAUAGUUGGUUUAUUUUAGU